GGGGGUGAAUGGAUUCGACUCGAAUAAGCAGAGCAAAGGCAGCAUGUAGAGGUUGCUAGGAGGCCUCUUUAAAAACCUGGCAAAUCAUCAAAUGCUGAGAACCUAAAAGUCCCAGCGACAGUGGAUGAGCUCCUUGCGUCCAUGCAAGUGGUCAAAGGAGUAACUCCGCUGGCAAGCGUUUCCUUAAUCUAAGGAAACCCAUCUCCCGGCCUGCGCCUACGGGGCCGGAUAGGUGACACUAGUAGGAUAGUCUGACUUGUUUAUCCUUUGGCUGGUCGGAUGAAAAUAUUUAAAGGAUACUCCUGCGGGAUUCCGCCUCUCGAAGCUCGACGGAGGAAACUAAAUCUGAGGCUAAACAUGUAGCGGCUUUUGUUUUGAUGUUCGAGGACGCGGGUUCGACUCCCGCCACCUCCACCA
rnacentral:tmRNA from 1 species